rnacentral:tRNA from 1 species
GGCAACAUGGCCGAGUGGUCUAAGGCGCUGGAAUUAGGACAUCCCUUUCUAUCCAGUCCUCCGGGGCGUGGGUUCGAACCCCACUGUUGUCA